CAGGGGUGUUUAAAGCAAGAUUCAUAAGCUUGGACCAUGGUGCGCCUUUUAAUGGACUUCAAUCUGCAGGCCAGAGUUCAUUAAGCCGCUUCACUUUGCACCACAUCAUCAUUUGACUGGAGCCUAAUAAGUGACAACCCCGAGGCGCUGCUGAGGAGGCUGCAGAAGGGCUUGUAAUCACCAUUCACCUAUCCAUCAUCUCUACUGGCUAUGUUUUGCUGUCAGGGAAGAGAAGCCAUCUAAGGUGCUAUAAGUUAAUAGGUGGGCUCACCUUGGGAGAGAAGACUAUCAGAGGUGCCUCUCUGACUCGGCCAAGCAGCAUUCUCCAGCUUCCCUGAGCUUUGGGCCAACCUUCAGGGUGUUGAAUGUCACCAUCUGUUGAGGACCUGCCGGCUUCACGUCGCUACAGGAACUGAAGGAGAGGGGGGUUGGUUGACGCCGGGCCCGUGAGGACCACACUUGAUUGCACAGACACAACUUUCUGUCAAAUCUGACCUCCGGUCCGUCACUGAAAGAUGUCCGUGUGCAACAUAAACAACAACAACAACAGUUCCUGUUUGUUCAGGAAGGAGAAGCAGCCUGGAGUUAACACCGACACAAGUGAGCU